UCAAGUGUCAUCUAGGUGGAGAGACGGGCUCUCCCAGGACCUCAUUGUUACUUCAAUGUACACAUUCAGGGCAGCUGCGGUGAGGUCUCAUUGGUCAGCUUCCUCCCUACACUCUGCUCAGCACACACACACUUCCUGCCGGGCGUGCAAGGUCAGAUCCCAGCUAAAUUUAGUGCCAUUAGCCUUGGCUUACAAUCCCCUUCAGCCGUGGCUAUAUAAAAGGCGGUGAGCUGCAUGUGGCCAGAUCAAACCAAACACUCUAUAACAAAAGAGAAAGAACCUCAACAGAAGAGCCACUACUGAAUUACACUGCACCAGUAUCAUCCUACGAGCUUUAACAGGAUGAAACCCAGAAGACUACUGCCUUCUGUCGCUCCUCUACCCACAAUAACAGAAACACAUGAGGACAUCUCUCAGUCCCUGGAUGAAUAUCUCAACUCCAUCAAAGAGCUCGCCCAGCCUGGCUGCAGACCAGUGAGGAUACCCAGGACUCAGAGACCUCGUCUCUUUUGUAAGCCCAUGGGCAAGCACAGCGGCUCCGCUUCCACGCCACGCAGCGCCUCACGGGCCCUACAGCCCCGUUGCGGUUCUCUCGGCCUGGAUGAGAUCACCCUAAAAUUCAGCAACCAGAAGGAUUAUGGUGCUAAAGAUCCACUGGACUGGUUGUUUGCACAGACGCAGUUACAGUCACAUGGUGAGGAUCUGCACAGGACUGAAAACACACCUGCUGCUUUGUUGUUAUUCUGAGGAGGCAACAUCAGAAAUCACUAAAGCUCUGUGUGAGCGAUAUGAAGGAUCUCAUGAACUCAACCUCUUUCAUUUAUAGCUUGAACAGGAUUUUCUUACCAAUGUGUGAAUGUUUACACUGGGUCAUGUAUUUCUCUGUUAUUAUUGUUUUGUAAAUAAAGUCCAGAAUGUAUUUUUACUGUUA